rnacentral:rRNA from 1 species
UACAGAGGUGGCAAGCGUUGUUCGGAAUUACUGGGCGUAAAGGGCGCGUAGGCGGUCUUGUCAGUCCCUUGUGAAAUCCCCCGGCUCAACUGGGGAACUGCAAGGGAAACAGCAGGGCUUGAGUUCGGGAGAGGGAAGCGGAAUUCCGGGUGUAGCGGUGAAAUGCGUAGAUAUCCGGAGGAACACCAGUGGCGAAAGCGGCCACCUGGACUGGCACCUGACGCUGACACGCGAAAGCUAGGGGAGCGAACGGG